rnacentral:rRNA from 1 species
GAUGAACGCUGGCGGCGUGCCUAAUACAUGCAAGUCGAGCGAACAGACGAGGAGCUUGCUCCUCUGACGUUAGCGGCGGACGGGUGAGUAACACGUGGAUAACCUACCUAUAAGACUGGGAUAACUUCGGGAAACCGGAGCUAAUACCGGAUAAUAUAUUGAACCGCAUGGUUCAAUAGUGAAAGACGGUUUUGCUGUCACUUAUAGAUGGAUCCGCGCCGCAUUAGCUAGUUGGUAAGGUAACGGCUUACCAAGGCAACGAUGCGUAGCCGACCUGAGAGGGUGAUCGGCCACACUGGAACUGAGACACGGUCCAGACUCCUACGGGAGGCAGCAGUAGGGAAUCUUCCGCAAUGGGCGAAUGCCUGACGGAGCAACGCCGCGUGAGUGAUGAAGGUCUUCGGAUCGUAAAACUCUGUUAGUAGGGAAGAACAAAUGUGUAAGUAACUAUGCACGUCUUGACGGUACCUAAUCAGAAAGCCACGGCUAACUACGUG